CAAUGAAGAAAGUAUGGUAAUGUGCACAUAAAUUGAUUUGGGGUCUCUAGAUCUGUCCUCUCUGAUGCCAUUUGGUUUUGAUUUGAGGGCAAGGUUUUACAACAAAACG